GAUGAACGCUGGCGGCGUGCUUAACACAUGCAAGUCGAACGGAAAGGCCCAAGCUUGCUUGGGUACUCGAGUGGCGAACGGGUGAGUAACACGUGGGUGAUCUGCCCUGCACUUCGGGAUAAGCCUGGGAAACUGGGUCUAAUACCGGAUAGGACGAUGGUUUGGAUGCCAUUGUGGAAGGUUUUUUCGGUGUGGGAUGAGCUCGCGGCCUAUCAGCUUGUUGGUGGGGUAAUGGCCUACCAAGGCGUCGACGGGUAGCCGGCCUGAGAGGGUGUACGGCCACAUUGGGACUGAGAUACGGCCCAGACUCCUACGGGAGGCAGCAGUGGGGAAUAUUGCACAAUGGGCGCAAGCCUGAUGCAGCGACGCCGCGUGGGGGAUGACGGCCUUCGGGUUGUAAACUCCUUUCGCUAGGGGCGAAGCGUUUUUGUGACGGUACCUGGAGAAGAAGCACCGGCUAACUACGUG
rnacentral:rRNA from 1 species